UACGUAGGGUGCGAGCGUUGUCCGGAAUUAUUGGGCGUAAAGGGCUCGUAGGCGGUUUGUCGCGUCGGGAGUGAAAACCCAGGGCUUAACCCUGGGCUGGCUUCCGAUACGGGCAGACUAGAGGUAUGCAGGGGAGAACGGAAUUCCUGGUGUAGCGGUGAAAUGCGCAGAUAUCAGGAGGAACACCGGUGGCGAAGGCGACUACCUGGCCUGUUCUUGACGCUGAGGCGCGAAAGCUAGGGGAGCAAACGGG
rnacentral:rRNA from 1 species